rnacentral:lncRNA from 1 species
GGAGAUAUUGGAAUUUAUAAGUAAUGUUUUGGGUGAAGAUGUUUUCAAGGAAAAAGUUAGGAGAUCAGAUAUUGUACGUUUCACCAGAAGAGUCGAGUUCAAGAGGCUAGAAUAAGGGGAGCUUUAGAUAAGCAUUGGUGUAGUAAGGUUUAAGAAACCAAUUGGGAUUAGUGUAUCAGUAACAUUAGAGGUUAGAAGAAAGAAAAGUAUUGGUGAUCAAUGGAGAAGCAUUGGAAGAGGUUGGCAACUUGAUCGGUGUAUCAGCAAUGGUUGAGACCUGAAUAAGAAAAGUGGUGAAUGAUUUGAAGCUUAAGUUAAGAAAGUAAUAGGAAUUAUUAAAUGGACCAAAAGGGAUAAAUAUUUAGAAAGGAAUUAGAAGAAGAAGAGUUUGAGAAGCAGUUGUGUAAGUCAGAGAUCAGAUCUAAGGAGGGUGUAUUAUGAAGACAGAAUUUCCAAAUUGAGAGAACGUGAAGUCUUUGAAGAGAAUUGAAAUAUCGUAAGGGUUUUAAGUUAGGUGAUAAUUAGAAGGAGAUGGAUAGGUCUUAUCAACAAAUUGAUUUGGUAUAUUCAAGUUUCGAUUGAUGUUCCAAGAUUUAUGGUUUGUUUAGAAGAAAGGUUUAAUCAUUGGCUAAGAUGGAAAAUUUCAUGUGUUGAAGGCAAAAGUACAUCAAAAUGUCAGUUUGAUAGGAAAGUGUAUGGUUAAGAGAAUUAGAAGCUUGGUAAAUGAGGAAUGGAGAAGAAAGGUCUUAUAUCAAAUGAAUAAAGGGUUGUCUCAGUAUAAGUUGCUGAAGAGUGUUAAGAAUGACUAGAGAAUCCGGGUCGAUUUAGAUGUUUAGAGUUAUGAAGUGGCAUCGGGUGGUGCGAUCAGUUUUCUUCGGUUGUGGUAUUAUGGUAAUGUGCAGUGAUCAGAUGAGUUUGAUCAAGCGAGAAGUGGAUGUUAGAUGUUGACUUUUAGAAGACAGAAAGUUGGUAAGUUCGGAUAAAGUUAGAGGGUUAGUUAGAGGGUUAAUGUUGCGGGUUAAGGGUAUUCUGAUGAACGCAAGUGAAGAAGAUGUAAUGUCAUUCUUUUUAGGUUUGAGGUGUGAUAACAAGAAAGGUUUGAUUAUUUCAUACCGUUUUUGGGAGGUUAUGGUCUUCAAGAGAUGUGUUGUGUUUUGAGAAGGAGAAUCAAUGGUUAAGCAUUAGAGGUGGAUCAAGUUAUAAAUGAGAAGAUGAAGAGUUAUAGAAGUCAGAAGAUUUUAGCAAGGAUAAGUGGAGAAGAGAAGAUAGAUCUUUAUGGUGUAAGGGUUUUAGUUGGUGUUCUACAACAAGUAUGAGACUUUAUGCCUUGGAGAAGUGGAGUUCACUUUGGAGUGAUGUCUAAAAUAGAACUGGUGUCAAUAAUAUCUUUUUGGAUGGUUCCUGUUGAAGUUGUGUAGUACCAGAGAAAGGUGGAAGCUUGGUUAGAGCAGCAAUGCUUUGGAUUCAGUGCAAUUAUAGGGAAAAGUUACAAGUUUGAUGAAUCUCAGGAGAAGAGUAGAGAAACAAUGGAAACGGUUUAGUAUGAGUUUUGGUAGACUAAUUUGAAUUUUGGGAGUACGUUUUCGUCGAAUAGAAACAGGGUUGAAGAAAUAAAAGGACAAUAUUAUCAUGGAUGAGAAGAAUUCUAAAAGUUUUUGCAAUAUCAUAGCAGUUUAAAGAAGGUUUUGGAGAAUGAUCGUUUUUCGGAUUGUCGAUUGGUAUGAAGAGAGUAUCAGGUAAAGAGAGAAGUAAGGAAGUAUGAAAUCAAAGUAGCACAGUGAAUGUUAGUGGGCAAGUUCUUAUCAGUAAGCGGCGUGUGCGAAGCACUUUCUAAGACUCGGGUUAGUGGUUUGUGAAGAUUGAACUUCUUUAACAAGGUAAGGAUCUCAUGGUCUGUUUUGAGUUUAGAGUAUGUGUGGUGAUCUUCAAAAGAGUAAGAGAAAAUAAAGAUAGUCUGCGGUUUCAAUCUGAAGUGACAACUUUGAAAUGUUAAAAUGUUAUAGGACGUUGAAUCAGGAAAGUGGGUUAAUGUGAUGAAGAAGAGAAAUUGAGUUUUGGUUUCAAGUUAUAGCGUUAGCUUUGAGGUGAAUAAGCAUUAAUAGUGGUUGGAACAAAAAGAAGGUUUAGGUUGUCGGUUUGGUAAGGGCAGAGAAAUCAGAGUUAGCUGAAAAAAUGUGAAGGCUAGUUGUCUAAAGGAAAUGUGGUGAAGAGAACUCAUUAUUAUAGUUGAAGUACUAUAACUGGUGAGUUUCUUGAUAGGAUUCAGCUAGGGCGGUUGGAUAAAUCCUAGUUUAAGAGGUAUCUUAAGGUGGACUAGUAUUGAUCAAGCUAGUGAUUUCAAGUCGAGAAAAAUAUAGAUCCAAGUAUGGGUCAGGUUGGCAAGUUAAAGAACUAAAGAUGGAGAGCUCGUGUCGGUUUUGUCAAGGCGAUGAAUAAGAAGUUCUGGUUUGGUAAUAGGAUAGCAUAGUUGGAAACUAUGCUACUCAAGAGUGAAGAUCAGUGAAGCAAUGUGUUGUCAUCAGAAUGGUGGGGUUUAAGGGUGAAUCAAGAGUGUUAAAGUUGGUAGAAAAAUCAAAAGUUGUGUUGAUCAAGCCAGUGGGAUGGUGGUACUUGAAAGGAACAAGAGGAGGUAUAUGAGUAUCGGUCAAGGGUUAAAUUGAAGUCAAGAUUAAGGGAAGUCUUAGAAGAGAUUUACAAGAAGUGGCGGAAGGUGGAUGAGUGGUUAUCAGUGUGGCAGACGCAAUAGGGUUGGUUUUGCGAAAGAAAGUUUCCUAUUAGUUGAAGUUUAGGAGUUCAUAUUUGUCUUGAGAGUAAUGGCUAAACCAAUAUACAUUAUUGAACACUAAAGCAUUUUAACACAGAGGCAAGGUUUUCGUGUUAGUAAAGUUAAGGGAGUAAUAUCUUUGUCAAAUAGGUGGUUGAACCAGAGAAUGUAAUGAGAUUAGGGUGUUCAUUCUCUCUGAUAAGUCUUAAUUUUCAAGGACGAAAACUUUGUUGUUGGGGAGAAUGUAAGGUCUGAGAAAAAUAUAACUUUUAGAGUGCACAUGUGUCGACAGAUGAUGGGUUGAUUUUUUAGUGUGAAAUAACAUAACUUGAGAAUUUCCCAGUUUUUCCCAUUGUCUGAAGCACCAUUUCUUUUUCAAAGCCUUCUUUCUCUUUGCUCUACCUUCUCUCCCUCCUAUUCCAAAACUUAACCAAUAUUUUGUUGAUCAGAAGCUUCCUAGGCAAUCAGGGCUUCAAGAGCAACACUUUCGACCGAUCAAAUUAUGUUUUCUUCAAUUUGUGAGUUAAAUCCCCUUUUCUGUUCACUCUAGGGUUGUAAGCAUGUAAUAAAAUCUGAUUGCAUGUAGCCCAUUUCUUAUUCCUUCACUUUUUAGCUUCUACUCGGUU